ensembl:lncRNA
CACGUGGGCAGGGUUUCCUGCAAGAUAGUGUUUAAGCAAUUAAUUUAUAGCCAAACUUAGUGAUGAAGAUAUUAUGUACAUAAGUGAUGUUAUUAGUUCAUGGGAUAAGACCAAAUUGAUUUAAAAAUGGGGUAAACUGCAGGCUUGGUAAACUAUUGAGCUGUUAUUGUGGCCACAUGACAACUCUAUACAUGUUAUCUGCCUUGUAAAUUUGCACGCACUUUUUAGUUUUCAGUGCGUAAGGGGAGAGGUAUUAGAAUUAAAUUAGGAAAAUUAAAUUUAUGGGGUUUUGGUCACCCUAUUUAUGGGAGGUUUUGGGAUGAAAUUUUGCAUAAUGCUAUGUGUGUAGCAUCUAUAAUAAGGAAUAAAGGAGUGGAGAUCAAAUCUCGGGGAAUGUUAUGGGAUGGCAACUCUAUACAUGUUAUCUGCUUUGUUCAUUUGCACGCACUUUUUAGGUUUCAGUGCGUAAGGGGGGAGGUAUUAGGAAAAUUAUAUUAGGAAAAUUAAAUUAAUGGGGUUUUGGUCACCCUAUUUAUGGGAGGUUUUGGGAUGAAAUUUUGCAUAAUGCUAUGGUUGUAGCAUCUAUAAUAAGGAAUAAAGGAGUGGAGAUCAAACCUCGGGGAAUGUUAUGGGGUGUGGGUACAGGUUAUACCCACUGAUAUGUUUCUUUAAUCUUUUUUAUGGCUCAGGAAUGAAGGAUAACUUGGUACCUGAGCUCAGCGGGAAAUAUAUAAGUGAAUGCCAGGGAUUUGGCCGCUGACUCUUAUUGUUUUAUUUGGAAUGUGUUCUACUGAAAGGUAUAAGUGUAUAGAUAUGACAAGGGAAAUAUAGAUAUUAUAUUAAUGGAUGGGUUUUAUAUGAUGGGUUAAGGUAUGUCUGAGGACAGGACUGAAGCUAAGAGAUGGUAAGUGUCAUGAGCUGUGGGGGAGAUAAUGUAGCUGAAUGGAUGGUAGUUUAUUUAAAGAGUUAAAGUUAGGGGAAAUAGACAAUCAUAAUGGAGAAAAUGAAAAUGGUCUAUAAUCAUAUGUAAGGUAACUGGGUAAACUACUGAAUCUUUAAGUCUACAUGAGGCAGGAGCGCUGCACGGAGCAGUCAUGCGCUGGGACACAGGAGUGAACUGGAGGAGUGUGAGAGAAUGGAUGAACUGAAGUCGGGUCAGCUGCAGACAAUCAUGUGUGUGAUUGGAGACGAAAUGCAGCUGGAAGUGUGAAUGUCAUGGAAGGAACGGGUGUGUGUGUGUGCCGAAGGGGAGUUGCUGAAGCAGACUUCAGCACAAACUUAAAGGUAAGUAUAUGGUAUAUGUGGGAAUCUUUGUUUUAAUCAAGCAUUUGGGGAAUUAUGUUAGUAUAACAUUAAGACAUAUGUGGGAAAUUAUGGAAUGCAAUCUCUGGAUAUCGUACUACACACUUUGGAAGUAUGUCUAGGAAAUAUGUGAAAAUUAUGUGUAUAGAUUGUUUUUAAUCUUUGGAAUUAUAUAUACACAGGUGGAAGCUUAUGGACUGGUCCAGUCGGGAGACUGGUGAUGGGUUAUGGUUCUUAAAACAAAAGAAUCUCCAGCCAAUAGGGCUGAGAGGUGAAGGGGUUAAGUGUGUUGUAUCGUGUUAACUGUUUUGCAGGACCACUAGGCGGUGGGACUACCACAAUUCGAGGGAGCUGAGUUGGAGUGGGGACCAUUCAGAUGUAGCAGCUGGACCUGGGUGAAGGGCUGCCAAGGUCAUGGACAUGCUGCGGUGGAUGGAUGUGUCUACCCUUGGGGAAAAGAAACUGAUGGAGCUCAACAUGGUCAGAGGAGGCUUUCCGGCGGAUUCAGAUGAAAGAUCUCAUCAGUGGAACUUACAAGAAGAUGUUUGUUGUGGGACGGCCACAACAAUUCUACAACAAUUCUACAACAGCAUGCAGAACAUUCAUACAUAUUAAGACUGUACCACUUGCAUAACAUUGCAUACAUAACUGGAUGUGUAUUGUUUAUAUUUAUAGUGUUUGUUUUAAUGUUUGGUUUUCUGUAUGUUUGUUUGUAUUGUAUUUUUGUAUGUUUCUUUAUAUUUUACACAACACUGCGUUCAGAAACUGAUGGAAAAGAGGAUGUGCAUGGUUGCCUUUCACAGCCUGCGGAAUGCAGGUGUCGCUGUACAGGACAGGGCAAUGGGUCCAGUUUUUACCUUAAAAUAAGAAGGUUUUUGUUCUCAUCUGUGGGGAUAGGGGCAUGGCAUCUCAGGAGUAAAGGAACACCAGAAUGUGGAUACUGAUAUUGUUACACCUAAGUUUAUCCAUGUGAAUGGAGACUGAACGAAACGCAC